rnacentral:rRNA from 1 species
UACGGAGGGGACUAGCGUUGUUCGGAAUUACUGGGCGUAAAGCGCACGUAGGCGGAUUUGUAAGUCAGGGGUGAAAUCCCGGGGCUCAACCUCGGAACUGCCUUUGAUACUGCAAAUCUCGAGUCCGGAAGAGGUGAGUGGAAUUCCUAGUGUAGAGGUGAAAUUCGUAGAUAUUAGGAAGAACACCAGUGGCGAAGGCGGCUCACUGGUCCGGUACUGACGCUGAGGUGCGAAAAGCGUGGG